GAUGAAGAACGCAGCGAAAUGCGAUAAGUAAUGUGAAUUGCAGAAUUUAGUGAAUCAUCGAAUCUUUGAACGCACAUUGCGCCCUCUGGUAUUCCGGGGGGCAUGCCUGUUCGAGCGUCAUUGCAACCCCUCAAGCGCGGCUUGUGUGUUGGGCCACCGUCCCACUCUGUGGACGGGCCUCAAAGGCAGUGGCAGCAUCGAGAUCUUGGUGUCUGAGUGUAUGGGCAUCCAUCACCGCUCUGUGACCCAAUUGAUGCUGGUCGUGAAACUGAAAUUCAUCCAGUUUGACCUCGGAUCAGGUAGGAAUACCCGCUGAACUUAAGAAUAUCAAUAAGCGGAGGA
rnacentral:misc_RNA from 1 species